rnacentral:rRNA from 1 species
UCCUACGGGAGGCAGCAGUGGGGAAUAUUGGACAAUGGGGGCAACCCUGAUCCAGCAAUGCCGCGUGUGUGAAGAAGGCCUGAGGGUUGUAAAGCACUUUCAGUGGGGAGGAGGCUUAUAAGGUUAAGAGCUGUAUAAGUGGACGUUACCCACAGAAGAAGCACCGGCUAACUCCGUGCCAGCAGCCGCGGUAAUACAGAGGGUGCAAGCGUUAAUCGGAAUUACUGGGCGUAAAGAGUGCGUAGGUGGUUUGGUAGUUAUCUGUGAAAUUCCUGGGCUUAACCUGGGCAUGUCAGAUAAUACUGCUGAACUCGAGUACGGGAGAGGGUAGUGGAAUUUCCGGUGUAGCGGUGAAAUGCGUAGAGAUCGGAAGGAACACCAGUGGCGAAGGCGGCUACCUGGCCUAAUACUGACACUGAGGCACGAAAGCGUGGGGAGCAAACAGGAUUAGAUACCCUGGUAGUCCACGCCGUAAACGAUG